UGCACAAACCCCGGAGCGGCGGCGGCACGGAACGCAGGGACCCGCUCCCGCCGAUGUGUGGGUUGUCAGUCGAUUUGUUGAUGAGCUUGCUAACCACGACGUUGCUUUGACAUGUCAGCUGGCGAGCCGGCGUCUGGAUGCCUCGGUGUCAUGCAGGCAGCUCCGUCUGAGCCCUGCGGAGAGCAGCUUAGAUCCGCUGGCCGGGGUUAAAAAUGAGCCGCAGUUAAGCUGCUGAAAGGGAUCCGCGCUGCCGCCAACAUCUUCCCUUUCAUUUCUGAGCCCAGCUCAAAAAGGACUUUUCUCAGCCAUCCUGGAAAAAGAACUGAAAGUGCGUGAUCAGCUGAAAAAGCAAGCUCAAGCAGCUGCAAGCAAACCUGACACUUUCUGCAACAUCCAAGAGUCCAGAAACUUUGUUUGCUUUGUUUCUAACAACUGAUCAAUUGAAACCAAUCGAUGAAAUGCUGGGGGCUGGCACAUUCCUGCCUCCACCCCAUGGGCUCUGCCUGAUCCUGAUCCCAACAGCAGCCCAGAGCUGGCUCCCAUGUAAAUGCACACACAAGUACAGAUCCUCCAGUGACAUCUGAUCCUCCAGGAUAUCUCAUGGGUGUCUAAUUAUUAUCUAAAGCCCAGCCUGGAUAAAACAGAGGUUUUGAUAUCCCUUUUCUCACAAAUCUUUUACCUAAAUCUUCUCAAAACACAGUGGGCAACAUUGUGGUUUAUCUGCCAUGCAGGCAACUGCUCCUGCUCUCCUUCAAAGCCCAUUAAUUGAGGCUGCAGUUAAACCUUGCAGAAUUUUUCAAGCCCAGCUUCUCCAGCCCUGCAGGUAAAUCUCUUGCAUAUCUCUUCCUUCAUCUGUUACUGAAGCACUUCUCCUGGGCCCUGAUCAUACCUCAGUCUUACCCAUUCACAACACCACCAUGGAGAUUUUUCUCCUAACCUUUCUCUUUUGGCCUGUUUCUCAGGCUGUACCCCUUCAUGGGUUAAUCCCUUCCAAUGACACCAAACUCAUGUCUUUGCUGUCAAUGACCUGUGACUUCUCUGUCCAUAGCCCUUCCCACCAACAACCAGCCCACAAUGGUGGCCAACCUCCUUUCUCUCAUGUCUUUGGAAGUGCUCUUCAAAAAACCUCCAAAAAUCAGUCUCUGGUAGAAACCCAUCUUUGCUCCCAGUAUCUGCAUACUGGUCAUGUUGCCACACAACACAUUGGUAAAUAUCACUUUCCUUCUCCAUGUUCCCAUUUGUCUGAGCCACCCAUUUUCCUAUGUCUUAAUCUUGGAAUAGCAAGAGUGAGGAUUUGUUGCGUAGCACAGCUCAGCCCAGCUGCAGCUUCUUGUCCUAUGGCAACAAGAACCAGGAAUAAUAACAGCAAGGUGGUGACUCAUUAAAACCAAUAACCUCAAUAAUUAGACUUACUUAACUUUUCCAAUUGUAUAAACAGCUGAGAAAAAAAAAAAAAUAGAGUCUUAUGCUUUACCAAUAUUUUUCCUUCUUCCAGUUUCCCACACAGAAAUUGUCUGUAUUGGCACUUGUCACAGUCAAAUUUCCUCUCUCUCCACACAACAGUAAAUUCAUGGAGUGAACUGAA